rnacentral:rRNA from 1 species
AACGUAGGAGGCAAGCGUUAUCCGGAGUAACUGGGCGUAAAGGGCGAGUAGGUGGUUGCGUAAGUUGGUUAUGAAAGCUCCUGGCUAAACUGGGAGAGGUUGACCAAGACUGCGCGACUUGAGUGGAGAAGAGGUAAACGGAAUUCCGCGUGUAGUGGUGAAAUGCGUAGAGAUGCGGAAGAACACCAGUGGCGAAGGCGGUUUACUGGUCUCCAACUGACACUGAACCGCGAAAGCAUGGGUAGCGAACGGGAUUAGAUACCCCAUAGUCC